rnacentral:rRNA from 1 species
AAUCGAACCCGGAGAUAGCUGGUUCUCCUCGAAAUAGCUUUAGGGCUAGCCUCGAUACAGAUUUGCGGAGGUAGAGCACUGAAUUUCCUAGGGGGCGUCAAAGCCUACCGAAGAAUAUCAAACUCCGAAUGCCGCGUAAUCGAUUAUCGGGAGUCAGACUGCACGAGAUAAGUUGGGCGGUCAAAAGGGAAAGAGCCCAGACCUUCAGUUAAGGUCCCCAAGUGCGCGUUAAGUGGAAAAGGAUGUGGGAUUUCGAAGACAACCAGGAUGUUGGCUCAGAAGCAGCCAUCCAUUCAAAGAGUGCGUAAUAGCUCACUGGUCGAGAGGUCCUGCGCCGAAAAUGUCCGGGGCUGAAACGCGCCACCGAAACUAAGGAACCGAAAGGUUGGUAGAGGAGCAUUGCAUGCGGAACGAAGCAGUACCGAAAGGAGCUGUGGACUGCAUGGAAGAGAGAAUGCCGGAAUGAGUAGCGAGAUAGAGGUGGGAAUCCUCUAGGCCGAAUAUCCAAGGUUUCCAGAGUAAAGCUGAUCUGCUCUGGGUAAGUCGGGGCCUAAGGCGAGGACGAGAGUCGUAGCCGAUGGACAACAGGUGGAGAUUCCUGUACUGCGGUAUGACAGAACUGUGGGGACACGUAAGGAAAGCGGAAGCCGGGAAUGGAAAGCCCGGUGCAAGCGGGGUACCAGUCACUCAGGCAAAUCCGGGUGGCAAUGGGAAGCCGUGAUGCGGAGCGAAAUAAAGUAGCGAAGUCCGUGAGCCAUGCGUCAAGAAAAGCCGCUAUUGUUUAUACCGUACCCGUACCGUAAACCGACACAGGUGGAUGAGGAGAGAAUCCUAAGGCCGGCGGAAGAAGCAUUGUCAAGGAACUCGGCAAAAUGGCCCCGUAACUUAGGGAUAAGGGGUGCCUGGGAAACCAGGCCGCAGAGAAUAGGCUCAAGCAACUGUUUAGCAAAAACACAGGUCUAUGCGAAACCGAAAGGUGAGGUAUAUGGGCUGACGCCUGCCCGGUGCUGGAAGGUUAAGAGGAGAGGUUAGCGCAAGCGAAGCUUUGAAUUUAAGCCCCAGUAAACGGCGGCCGUAACUAUAACGGUCCUAAGGUAGCGAAAUUCCUUGUCGGGUAAGUUCCGACCCGCACGAAAGGCGUAAUGAUUUGAGCACUGUCUCGACAAUGCAUCCGGUGAAAUUGAAGUACCAGUGAAGAUGCUGGUUACCUGCGCCAGGACGGAAAGACCCCAUGGAGCUUUACUCCAGUUUGGUACUGGGACUCGGUAUUGCAUGUACAGGAUAGGUGGGAGGCUAGGAGAUGGUAACGCCAGUUGCCAUGGAGCCGCUGUUGGGAUACCACCCUUGCAGUAUUGGGUUUCUAACCAGCCGCCGUGACCCGGCGGUGGGACAAUGCCAGACGGGGAGUUUGACUGGGGCGGUCGCCUCCGAAAGGGUAUCGGAGGCGCCCAAAGGUUCCCUCAGAAUGGACGGAAACCAUUCGAAGAGUGCAAAGGCAGAAGGGAGCUUGACUGCGACACCGACGGGUGGAGCAGGUACGAAAGUAGGACUUAGUGAUCCGGUGGUAUAAAGUGGGAUUGCCAUCGCUCAACGGAUAAAAGCUACCCUGGGGAUAACAGGCUUAUCACUCCCAAGAGUUCACAUCGACGGAGUGGUUUGGCACCUCGAUGUCGGCUCAUCGCAUCCUGGGGCUGUAGUAGGUCCCAAGGGUUGGGCUGUUCGCCCAUUAAAGCGGUACGCGAGCUGGGUUCAGAACGUCGUGAGACAGUUCGGUCCCUAU